rnacentral:rRNA from 1 species
UACGUAGGGUGCGAGCGUUAAUCGGAAUUACUGGGCGUAAAGCGUGCGCAGCGGGGAUGUAAGACAGAUGUGAAAUCCCCGGGCUCAACCUGGGAACUGCAUUUGUGACUGCAUCGCUGGAGUGCGGCAGAGGGGGAUGGAAUUUCGCGUGUAGCAGUGAAAUGCGUAGAUAUGCGGAGGAACACCGAUGGCGAAGGCAAUCCCCUGGGCCUGCACUGACGCUCAUGCACGAAAGCGUGGGGAGCAAACAGG